GACGAACGCUGGCGGCGUGCCUAAUACAUGCAAGUCGAACGCAGUGGGGACGGGUGAGUAACACGUGGGUAACCUCCCAUCAGAGGGGAUAACACUUGGAAACAGGUGCUAAACCGAUACUGAUGGAUGGACCCGCGGUGCAUUAGCUAGUUGGUGAGGUAACGGCGCACCAAGGCCACGAUGCAUAGCGGGGCGUGGAGGUGGAUGGGCCAAACUGGGACGGAGACAGGGCCCAGACUCAUAGGUGAGGCAGAAGUGGGUAAUCUUGGGAAAGGGACGAAAGUCUGACCGAGCAACGCCGCGUGAGUGAAGAAGGUUUUCGGAUCGUAAACCUCUGGUGUUAGAGAAGCGGUAUCUAACCAGAAAGCCACGGCUAACUACGUGCCAGCAGCCGCGGUAAUAC
rnacentral:rRNA from 1 species